AUUGAACGCUGGCGGCAGGCCUAACACAUGCAAGUCGAGCGGAUGAAGGGAGCUUGCUCCUGGAUUCAGCGGCGGACGGGUGAGUAAUGCCUAGGAAUCUGCCUGGUAGUGGGGGAUAACGUCCGGAAACGGGCGCUAAUACCGCAUACGUCCUGAGGGAGAAAGUGGGGGAUCUUCGGACCUCACGCUAUCAGAUGAGCCUAGGUCGGAUUAGCUAGUUGGUGGGGUAAAGGCCUACCAAGGCGACGAUCCGUAACUGGUCUGAGAGGAUGAUCAGUCACACGGGAACUGAGACAGGGUCCAGACUCCUACGGGAGGCAGCAGUGGGGAAUAUUGGACAAUGGGCGAAAGCCUGAUCCAGCCAUGCCGCGUGUGUGAAGAAGGUCUUCGGAUUGUAAAGCACUUUAAGUUGGGAGGAAGGGCAGUAAGUUAAUACCUUGCUGUUUUGACGUUACCAACAGAAUAAGCACCGGCUAACUUCGUG
rnacentral:rRNA from 1 species